UUACUCUCUUCCAAUCCUCAUGAACUUGUGCCCUUCCCUGAAUUUAUGUAUUCUUAUGAUUUGCAUGAUCAAAUUAUUUCCCUCUCCAACAUGAGUGAGCCAAGACUUCUUUCUACUCACUUACCAUUCCCUUCAUUACCUCAAUCCAUCACAAAAUCCAAUUGCAAGAUCAUUUAUAUAUCUAGAAAUCCAUUUGAUACUUUUGUUUCAGCAUGGGAAUUCUUUACUAAAAUAAAGUCAGUAUCUUUACCUGAAUUCACUUUGGAGGAAGCAUUUGAAAAGUAUUGCAAUGGGAUAACGGUGUUUGGUCCAUGGUGGAGUCAUAUGUUAGGUUACUGGAAGGAGAGCAUAACUAGACCAAACAAAGUUUUGUUCUUAAAGUAUGAAGAUCUUAAAGAGGAUACAGUUUUUCAUGUGAAAAGAAUUGCAGAGUUCUUGGACUCUCCUAUCACUCAAGGAGGAGAGAGUACCGCAGUGAUUGAAAACAUAAUCAAACUAUGUAGAUUUGAGACGAUGAAGAAUUUGGAAGUGAACAAAUCAGGACAUAUAUACAAUAUUACAGAGAAUAAACACUUCUUUCGGAAGGGUGAAAUAGGAGAUUGGAUAAAUUACUUUUCUCCUUCAAUGAUAGAAAAGUUAUCCAAAAUCAUUGAAGAAAAAUUAGGUGGAUCAGGUCUAUCAUUUAAAGUGCAUUCCUAGAUUCCAAUGUAAUAUGCGGGUCUAUACGAGCCAACAUGUUGUAUUGUGUAGAACAACUGAUAUUGUGAUCUUUGCUUUUGAUAAAUAAAGAUGUACUGUUUUUACGCUUUUGAUAAAUAAAGAUGUAUUGUUUUUGCGCUUUUGAUAAAUAAAGAACUAUGUUUAUAUAGCUUCCAGCCAAUAAAAAAAAAAUUAUCUAGCUUCGAAGUUCUUCUCUCUUACAAUUCUUUAUCCAUGACUCUCGAAUUCUAUAUUAAGAAUUGCUCAGUGUUGUAUAUUAGGCCAUGUGGUAGAGAAGAAACACUUCUUUCGGAAGGGUGAAAUAACUACAACAAAAACAUCAUUUUUGUCGACAAAAGACGGAUGUAAAUCAAAUAAAAGUGAUGAAUAAAUGUCGGUAAUGCGUUGUCAAAAAAAUCGACGAGAAAAACAUGGAAGCAAAGUUAAUUUGUAUCAAUCAACAAAAGUGACACAAAUUAUGUAGGUCAAGCGGACAUGAAACACGUGUGAAUAGUGUGAAUAUCUAUGCAAAUUAUGUAGGUCAAGCCGAGAUAAGACAGACGAAUAUUAUUGGUGUGACACGUAAAAGAAAAAGAAAUAUCGUCCUUUCUUUUGGAAGGGACAAAACAGAAGAUGCUUCUCUUCUUCAUAUGCUUGCGGGCCUUCAGUCGAAGCCAUUGGAAGCUAUAGCUAUAGAAUGUGAAUGAUAACUCAGCAGUAACAGGUUGAUGAUAAUUUGCCAUAGUAAGGGAUAUGUUUUAUAGCGUCAUCUAGUGGUUCAAGUUGAUGAUUUGAAAUGAGAAACAAAUACUGUUUUACUGAAGCAAUAAUAAAUAUGAUUACUUACACAUAUUGGUUAAACUUGGUUUUUUUAAAACAAAAAAGAUGCCUUAUUGAAUGGUUUAGUGUGUUUCUUCCUCACGUGAUUUUCUGACAUGUGGGUUUUGGUGCAUUUUGUUUGUUAUGUUUAUUUGUAGAAGGGAUCUGAAAUUUUUUUAUUUUAUGGUCUCCUCUUUAUUAGUGUUAUGAAUUAACCCUAUUGUAAAAGAAUCAUUAACGUCCCUUCAAAAGAGUUACUAUGCAGUGUACGUGGCUGAAGGUGAAUCAUUAAAGUUCCUUUAUCAUUAAAUAUUAUUUAAUAAAUAUUUGGUUGUGAUUAUAAAUAUACCAAGGAUGGAAGAAUAGAAAGUAACUCCAAACAAACUAAAUACUACAAUUAAUACAAGUAAAAUGCUGGAAAUCUGGAAAUUAAUUUUCGAAGCUCUAUAAAAGCUAUCUCUUGCUAAGCUAUGUUAUCAUCCAAUUUUAUGAUAAAUUAAUUCUAUGAUAUUUUGUUUGAGAAGAAAAAUUUGAUUUGGAAAAUUACUUUUCUUCUUAUAGGAUAGAAAGUUAAGAAAAAUUAAGUGUAUCAAGUUUAUCAUUUAAAGUGAAUUUCUAGAUACCAAGGUAAUAUGCGAGUCCAUAAAACUCAACAUGUUGUAUUGUGUAGAACAAAUGAUAUUGUGAUUUGAUAAAUAAAGAUGUGUUUUUAAGUUUUGGAUAAAUAAAGAACUAUGUUUUUAUAGCUUCUCACUACAAGAAAAUAAUGAAAUAAAAACUAUUUUUUAGUGACAAAAAAUAAUUAGUUGCUAUAGUGACUAAAUUAGAUACCAUUUUAGAGACUAAAAAAUUUUUGGUUUGUAAAUUAGUUUCUAUUAUUGUUAAAUGAUUUCUAAAUUGGUAUAUAAUUAGCUACGUAUCAAGGUUUUCGUUACCAGAUUUAGAAACUAAAUAAUUGGUAGUUAAAACUAUGGUUACUAAUUAGAUACCAAUUUAGAAACCAUUUAACAAUAAUAAAAACUAAUUUAGAAACCAUUUUUUUUUAUUUUCUAAAAUGGUCUCUAAUUUAGUUACUAUAGCAACUAAUUUUUUUUUGUCUCUAAAAUUGGUUUCUAUUUCAUGUUACUAUAGCAACUAAUUUCUUGCAGUGUCUGGCCAAUAAAUAAUAUAUAGCUUCGAACUUUUUUUUUUCUUACAAUUUUUUCAACCAUGACUCUCGAGUAUUGUAUUAAGAAUUAUUUACUGUUGUAUAUUAGGCAAUAUGGCAAAAAAGAAACACGGAAGGAUGAAAUAUACAACAAAAACAUCAUUUUUGGACGGCAAAAGAUGGACAAAAAUAAAAGAAAACCGACAAAUAAAUGUUGCUUAUGCGUCGGCCAAGAAACCAACAAAAAAAGCGUGGAAACAAAGUUAAUUUGUGUCGGCUAGCAAGGGUAAUGUAAAUUACAUAGACCAAGCUUACGUGAGACAAACAUAAAUAUCGUUGACAUGAUCUUUGUAAAUAGGGAUGAAAUAUUGUCGGUGAGACCAACGUUGAUGUAUUAGAAAUGCCAGCAUGCGUUGACCAAGCAUAACACACAAAAAUAUCAAAAUUUGCGUCGGCCUAACUGGAGCAAAAUUGGACAAAACCAAAAAUAAAAAUAAAAAUAAAAGCUAGUGUGGACCUACAUCACACAAAAAUGGAAGCUAGAAAAAAUAUUAAAGAUUAAUAAUGAUUUGCAUGAACUUGGCUGACACAUGAAAAAAAAUGCAGUUUAUUUUUAUUUCUCUACCCAUUUUCACAUGUAAAAAGUUUUCAUAUCCAUUAUGAAAAACCAUCCAAAUUAUUCAAACAUCUAGAUAAUUAUCUAUUUCAUUUCACUUAUUAAAACUAUUAAAAUCAUUUAAAUAUCUAAAUAAUUUCAAGUUGAAUAUUAAUACAUAAAAUAGAACUUAGCAAUUGAAAUGUAUAAGUUUACUAUAAAAAUAAAGCAUAAAAUAAAAUUGUAAAUUAAAAAUUACAAAUUACAAAUUAACCAAAAGGACUAGAACUUGAAAGGUACCAUAAUACAAUUAUAUAAAAAAAAAUUACAACAACUAAAAAUAUGAAAUAUGUCCCAUGAAGUAAAAAUACCACUCAUGUGAUCCAUAAAAAUCUGUAAAAAAAAUACAAAUAAUGUGAAUAACUAAAAUAUUUAGUAUAUAACAAAACUGUAAAAUAAUUAAACUUACAGUCUGGGAUGUCCUUCAAGAAAGGGACUAGUCAUCAUACUUUGGAGAAUAUUGAUGUUGGAAUUAACUUGUACUAGUGGAAGCAUUACCACCAUGUUGCAACACCGUGACAAGUUGUUCCUUUAUUUCGUCCUCCAAGUAUAUAUGCAUACUUUUGAUCCCACAUGCUAACUUCUACACGAAAUUGAUGAUUUUCAGUCAACUAAUCAAAUUGAGAAGUGUCGGAACCAGAGGAAGGCAGAAAGAGGGAACAGAGCCAUUGAUGGAAGUUACUAACCAAGUCUGUCAUACCAAACUUAAUGUUAACAUUUUAUAAAUAUUUUAUUUAAUUUAUUAUUUUUUAUCAAUAAAAACAAAAAAAAAGUGUGUGAGCAUUAGAUUGGUGUCCCACAGUAGUAGCAGGUGUUGUUCAUUAUUUGUCAUUUACCCCACCUAUCAAUUAUAUGUCUGCAACCACUUUCUUUAACUCAUUUAAUUUGCAUUUUCAAAACAGUUUAGUUUAUGGCAGUUUGAGUUUUUAAGAUAAACAUUGCAUGUGGUCAGUUUUUUUGUAGGGUUAGCAUUUUGUCGUAGUGCUGAUUAUGUUGUAUGAACACAAAAGUGAAAGUUCACUAAUCAGAACUGGCAAUAAAAAGUUAAAGUUAGUUAAGUUCAAAAGUUAAAAAAAAAAGUAUUUUCUAUAAAAUAUAUUUAAAUUAUUAUUUUACUUUACGUUCUUUUAAAAUUAAAAUAUUUAUACAUAAUUUUUUAUAAUAUUAUUCGCAUUUUUAAAUUAAUAUAUAUUCACAAUUUUUUAUAAUAUUUAAUUUUUUUAAUUUGAUUAUUUUUUUGAAAAAAAUUAUUUAAUAAAUAUUUGUUUGUGAUUAUGAAUAUACUGAGGAUGGAAGAAUAAAAAGUAACUCAGAAAACACUGGAAAAUCUAGAAAUUAAUACAAGUAAAAAGCUGGAAAUCUAGAAAUUAAUUUAAUAAGUUCUAUAAAAGCUAUCUCCUGCUAAGCUAUGUUUUCAUCCAAUUCUAGUAUUCACUCACCAUUCAUAUUGAAGCCACUCCAAUGGCUUUGGCAAGUCACAAACAAGCAAAUGAAGAAAACGAAAUAAUCAUCUCCCUUCCCAAGGAGAGUGGUUUGGGUGCAGGACCCUAUCUCCAUCUAUUUCAAGAUUUUUGGUGUCCAACAAAUUCUGUUGAAGGAGUGAACAAGUUUCAAAAACAUUUUGAUGCAAAAGACAAUGAUGUUUUUGUUGCCAGCUUUCCAAAAUCAGGUACUACCUGGUUGAAAGCCCUUACUUUUGCCAUUGUAAACCAUCAACAGUUUUCCUCUUUCGACAACCAUCCAUUACUCUCUUCCAAUCCUCAUGAACUUGUGCCCUUCCCUGAAUUUAUGUAUUCUCAUGAUUUGCAUGACCAAAUUCUUUCCCUCUCCAACAAGAGUGAGCCAAGACUUCUUUCUACUCACUUACCAUUCCCUUCAUUACCUCAAUCCAUCACAAAAUCCAAUUGCAAGAUUAUUUAUAUAUGUAGAAAUCCAUUUGAUACUUUUGUUUCAGUAUGGGAAUUCUUUAAUAAAAUAAAGCCAGUGUCUUCACCUGAAUUCAUCUUCGAGGAAGCAUUUGAAAAGUACUGCAAUGGGAUAAUGGGGUUUGGUCCAUGGUGGAGUCAUAUGUUAGGUUACUGGAAGGAAAGCAUAACUAGACGAAACAAAGUUUUGUUCUUAAAGUAUGAAGAUCUUAAAGAGGAUACAGUUUUUCAUGUGAAAAGAAUUGCAGAGUUCUUGGACUCUCCUAUCACUCAAGGAGGAGAGAGUAACACAGUGAUUGAACACAUAAUCAAACUAUGUAGAUUUGAGAAGAUGAAGGAUUUGGAAGUGAACAAAUCAGGAUGUAUAUUAAAUGGUGUAGAGAAGAAAAAUUUCUUUCGGAAGGGUGAAAUAGGAGAUUGGAUAAAUUACUUUUCUCCUUCAAUGAUAGAAAAGUUAUCCAAAAUCAUUGAAGAAAAAUUAGGUGGAUCAGGUCUAUCGUUUAAAGUGCAUUCUUAGAUUUCAAUGUAAUAUGCGAGUCCAUAUUAGCCAACAUGUUGUAUUGUAUAGAACAAAUGAUAUUGUGAUCUUUGCUUUUAAUAAAUAAAGAUGUACUGUUGUCACGCUUUUGAUAAAUAAAGAACUAUGUUUAUAUAGCUUCCAGCCAAUAAAAAAAAUUAUCUAGCUUCCAAGUUCUUGUCUCUUACAAUUCUUUCAUCCAUGACUCUCGAGUUUUGUAUUAAGAAUUGCUCACUGUUGUAUAUAUUGGGCAAUGUGGCAAAGAUGAAACACUUCUUUCUGGAAGGUGAAAUAACUACAAAAAAACAUCAUUUUUUUUGUUGGUAGAAAUGAAAAUCAAUGAAUAAACAUCGGUGUUAUGUGUUGGUAAAGAAGUUGAGGAGAAAAGCGUGGAAGCAAAGAUAAUUUGUGUAGGUCAACAACAGCAACAUAAAUUGCGUGAGUCAAACUGAUGUGAAACUUAUGACGUAAACAGGGAUAAAAUAUCAUUGUUGAGAUCUACGCAAAUGUAUCAAAAUCGCCAUAAUGCGUCAACCAAGCAAAACGGAAAAAGAAUAAAAAUAAAUCAGAAUUUGCAUCGACCUAGCCGAUGCAAAAUUGGACAAACUAAAAAUAAAAAUAAAAGCUAGUGUGUCUAGCGUGACAAAGUGGGCUGGCUCACCCCGUGAGCAAAAUGUGGGUCGGGUUGGCCUGUCCUGCGCUAGGAGUGCGGUCUCAUUUUACUGAUCUACCCCGCAUAACUAGUAACCCGCGGACCAGCCCACAUAAACAAUUUUUUUCCAAAAAUUAAAAUUUAUAAUAUUGAAUGGAAAAAUGGUCUAAUAUAAAAUUAUUUAAAUAAGAGGAGACAGAAAGUUUUAUUGAGCUUAGUCAAUAUGGUUUUUGAAGUUAUUUAUACCACGACUCAUUUUAACAUAUAAAUAUACAUAAAUAUUAUUUGCAAAAAUAAUUUAGUAAAUAUGAAAAAUAAAAAUAAAAAGUAUUUUAGAAUUACUUAAAAUUUAUUUAAACUUUAAAAAUAUUGCAUUUUAUAUCAACCAUGUCAAAAUGCUUUCCCAUUCCAAGAAGGAUGAUUUAUUGUGUAAUAGACUUUAAAAUAUGUAAAUAAAAUAAACUUAAAUAAGUUUUAGAUUCUUGAUAUAUAAUAUUUUUUAUUUUAAGCAUCUAAUAAAUUUUUCUUUAAAAAAUACCUAAUAAAUUAUAAAAAAUUUAUUUAAACAUUUAUUAAUAUUUCCUCCCGUAAAGUAUUUGUAUAUUUUUCAAUUAACCUAAAAUUAAUUUAAAUAAAAAAGAUAUUAAGGAAAUACUUUCAACAUUUCUCUUUGCUUUAAUAUUUUUUUUAUUUAAAUUUUAAAUUACAAAUUUGAUUCCGGACUUGUCCUUUCUUUUUCCAUAUAAUUCUUGUCCUUUUCUCUCUUCUAUAGAUCAUAUCUUUAUUCAAUUUUUAUGCUUCAUCUUAUUUCUUUUUAUAUCAACCUCAUCUUUUUUCUUUACUAUAUCAUAAUGACAUUAGACUUUUGAUGGAUGUUAAAAUGUAGUUCAUCUACUUUCUUCUAUUUUGUACAUCAAACUUCCUUAAGAGAAAUCUAUCUUCUUUUUAUUUUAAUCCUUCUUUCAUAUCUUUUUCAUUGGUAGUCAAUUCCUUUUUCAUGAAAUCUAGAGAAAAACUUUAGUCUUUCAUAGGAACCUGAAUACUUCUAAGUUGUUUACAUCUUUAAUCUAAACAAAGUUUGUUUUCAAAUGACACCUUAUUAACCUUAAUUUACGGGUUGAGCAACACUUAAAUUUCGAUUAAUUUCAAGAAUAUAUAAGAAAUUAAAAAUCAAUUUGAGAAUUUUAAUUGUAAUUCCAAACAAAUUGUUCUAUAUAUCUAAUUCUUACUUUAAAAAUAUCAUAUUUGUUUAACUCUUUAAAAAGUUCUCGAACAUGAACCAUAUGUACAAUAACUAUUUAUAAGUCAACAUUUUUAUAUUUGUUGGUUGUAACAUGAUUUUGCAAGAAAUAAUUUUUCUUUUGAUUCAUCCUUUCCAAUCUUAACAUUUUCUUGGAGUGUUGUUUUGAUUGUAUUUGUUCCUUUUGUAAUUCUUCACUUCGAAAAAACAUUUGACACAAUGAAAUACCUUCAAUAACAUGGUCUUCUCUCAUGAAUUCAUUGUUCUUGUGGUUACAUGUACACAUCUACGAAAGUAAUUAUAUAUAAAUCUUUUGUGUUUUCAAUCAAAACAAUAAAUACUUCCUAUCUCUCUAGCACCUUUAUGAAAGUUACAAAGUUUUCACUUUAACUUUUCUUUUAUCGGCAAAAAAGAAUAAAAUAAAUGGAGGUAUUUUAGAGAUACCUCAACCCUUAUACAAAAACAACAACAUCCAUUCGCUAGCCACUCGUAACAUAACUUUGAAGUGACCCAUGACCAGACCUGCACCUGCACCAUUGUUCUUGGUAUAAUCGGAAUCCACCUAGGGGUUCCGUUUGUCCAAAGCCUAUUCGUUCUUCAAAAUCUCUUACGAGAGGACCUAGACGCUUGUACACACGAUCAUUCAUAUUAAUUGGUAUAGCUAGGACCUUCCAGUACUUUCAAUGAAAGAUUCAACACGCUCCACUUAAGCUACUAAGGAGAUGGAAGAUCGAAUAUCCGAAAGGAUGGAUAAUAGGUUUAUGGAACUCAUGAAUACGUUGAAGGAAACCUUGACUCUUUCUAUGAAGGACACCAUGCUGGAACUACUUACUCAAUCUCGAGGAGAAGGGCUCCAUGGCCUCUCAAAUGACAACAUGUGGUUUAGUGCAAUUGGCGAUGAUCCCAUGGCUGAGUUGUUGCAUCUACAACAAAAGACUUCACUUGAUGCCUAUCAUGAAGAGUUCAAUUCAAUCAUUACAAGAUUGAAGUUAUCUGAUGAUCAUAUUCUAAGGUGCUUCCUUGGUGGAUUACAGAAAGAAAUCCAAAUGAUGGUAAGAAUGUUCCAACCUAAGUCUCUACAACAUGUGUUUAACUUGGCCAGGACGUAUGAAGCAACUACUUCAAGCAAUUCGAUGGCCAAAUUCCACAGGGGAGUCUUGGGUCCAGCACCAGUGCCUAUAUCGUCGUCUGCUUCAAUCAAUGCGGCCCCAAACCCAAACCAACACGCCACUUAACAACGAAGUUCAUCAAGAUAUAAAAACCUUGGUUGCUAAUUAGAUACCAAUUUAGAAACCAUUUAACAAUAAUAAAAAUUAAUUUAGAAACCAAAAAUUUAUUUAGUCCCUAAAAUGGUCAUUAAUUUAGUCACUAUAGCAACUAACUAUUUUUUGUGUCUAAAAUUGGUUUCUAUUUUAUGAUUUUCUUGUAGUGUAAAGAUUACAUGAUAGAAGAAUAAGAAGGAAAUACUAAUAUUUAAGGCAUGAAAUUAUUAAAUUUAACAAGGAAGUUCAAACAACCAAUUAAGAAAUACUCAAAUAAAUUCUUCAAUGGUCUAAUAAGAUUAAAUUAUCGGAAAAGAGUUUUUUGAUUUCAGAUUAGUUGAGAAAAUUUUGGGGAAGAUAUCAAAAAACAAUAUUUUAUUUAAAAAAAAAUCUAUUUUUAUUCUAUUUCAUUUUAAUUUAUGUCCCAAAAAUUAACUCUUUCGUUUUCCAUUUUUAGUAAAAACUUCAUCAAAUGGUGAAAGAAGAAAGCUUAAGCAACAGGUUUUGUGGCAUACAUUAUAAAUUUGGGUUUUGAACAUGGUUGGACUGAGCUCAUCUAUUCAAUAAGGACAACAAAAUUUUGAAUAUGUAGUUUUCCCUUUAAAAUGAAGAGGAUGUUAACCAAUUAAUGUAACUUUAUUUGCAUAUUAUGAAAUGAGUUGCAUUACAUGGAAACUCAAUUUCUCAUUACCUCUCAUUUCGUCAGAACUUGCCACUAUUUGCAUAAAAUUCCUCAUUAUUAUAAUAUACUGCUACAUGCCUCAAACUUUAAUCUACUAUUAUAUAGCUGCAUCACACUUUGUUAUAAUCUAUAUUAUAUUUUACUGCAAAGUCAACUUCUUUUUGUCCUUUACAAUGUUAUUUUAAAAUAAUUACAAUGUUAGAUGAGUUGGGUUUAUUUAUUGAUUAGUUAGCCACCGAAAUUGAAAAUUAUUAUUGGCUCACUAGCCUUCAAAGGCAUCAUUCAAAAUAGUUUAUUACUAUUAUUUCCAUUGCACUGCACCCAAUCAAAGGCCUAAGGUUGAAACCAAAUUAUUCAGUUUCAUUCAUCCACUCCCUUUCCUCUUGUUACCGGUGCUCUUGUUUCAUUCAAUGGCAGAAAUUGUUACCGGUGCUCUUGUUUCUGUUGUCCUCGAAAGAACUAUUGACACUUUGGCUUCCCGUUUUGUCCACAUAUUUCGUGGAAGAAAACACAAAAAGAAGCAACUCAGCCACCUGAAGAUGAAGCUCCUAGCCAUUGAUGUUGUGGCUUUUGAUGCAGAACAUAAGCAGUUCACAGAUCCUCGUGUGAGAAAUUGGCUUCUCAGGGCCAAAGAUGUUGUGUUUGAUGCAGAAGAUCUCUUGGAUGAAAUAGAUUAUGAACUCUCCAAAAGCCAAGUGGAAGCUGAGUCUCACAGUGCUACUAACAAGGUGUGGAAUUCCCUCAAAUCUUCUUUUCUCAGUUUCUUUGAAAAUGAAAUUGAAUCCAGGAUGGAACAAGUCACUGAAGACCUAGAAGAUCUUGCAACCCAAAGCGAUUUUCUAGGUUUGAAAAAGGCUAGUGGUGUUGGGGUUGCACCAGGAUCGAGUAGUAGAUUAACAUAUACAUCUUUGCCAAAUGAAAGUGUUAUGUAUGGCAGAGAUGAAGACAGAGAAUUUGUGUUUAAUUUGCUCACAUCUGACAGUCACAAAAACCUAUCUAUACUUUCUAUUGUGGGCAUGGGUGGGUUGGGUAAGACCUCACUUGCCCAACAUGUAUUCAAUGACCCAAGGAUUGAAGGUAAAUUUGAUAUUAAAGCUUGGAUCAGUGUUCCACAGGAAUUUGAUGUUCUCAAUGUAUCAAGGGCCAUUCUUGACACAAUUACAGGUUCAACUGUUCAUAGUAUACAGCAGGAAGUUAUUCAGAGAACACUGAAAGAAAAAUUGACGGGGAAGAAAUUUCUUCUCAUUUUGGAUGACGUUUGGAACGAAAGGCAAUCUAUAUGGGAAGAUGUGCAGAAGCCCCUACUUUUCGGAGGCCAAGGCAGUAGGAUUCUUGUCACUACACGUAGUGAGAAGGUUGCUGUUACCAUGCGAUCAGAAAAGCACCUCCUGCAGGUAUUAAGGAAAGAUUAUUGCUGGGACUUGUUCGCAAAACAUGCAUUCCAAAGUGUUAAUCCUCAACCGGAUCCAGAGUUCAUGGAGAUUGGUAAGAAGAUAGUUGAAAAAUGUAAUGGGCUUCCUUUAGCCUUGAAAACAAUGGGAAGUCUACUAAACAGUAAAUCAUCCUUUUGGGAAUGGGAAAGCAUUAUGAAAAGUGAGAUAUGGGAUUUUUCAGAAAAUGAAAGUGAUAUACUCCCUGCUUUAAGACUGAGUUAUCACCACCUUCCUUCUCAUCUCAAGAAAUGCUUUGCUUUUUGUGCCUUGUUUCCAAAAGGUUAUAAGUUUGAUAAGGAGUGUUUAAUUCAACUGUGGAUGGCUGAGAAUUUUCUAGAAAGCCCUCUACAGAAAAGGAGUCCUACAGAAGUUGGAGAACAGUAUUUCAAUGAUCUGUUAUCUUGGUCCUUCUUUCAACAAUCAGGAAAUGGAAAAGAAAAGCAUUUUAUCAUGCAUGACCUUCUAAAUGAUUUGGCAAAAUUCGUUUGUGAGGACAUCUGCAUCAGGUUAGGAGUUGAUGAACCAAAAGGUAUACCCAAGACAAGCCGUCAUUUUUCAUUUCAUACCAAUGGUGUUACACGUUUUGAUGGGUUUGGAAGUUUAAUUGAUACUCAAAAGUUGCAUACAUUUAUGCCAACUGACAGGAGAAUGAAUAAUCCUUUUUCUGGCAUUUGGUAUUGUAAGAUGUCGAUAGAUGACUUGUUUUCCAAAUUUAAGUUCAUACGCUUCUUAUCUUUGUCUGAUUGUCGUAACCUUAGAGAGGUGCCUAAAUCUGUAGGAAAUCUUAAGCAUCUCCGUUCAUUAGAUCUCUCUUCUACUAAAAUAAGAAAACUACCUGACUCCAUAAGUUUACUCUACAAGUUGCAAAUCUUGAAGUUGAACUAUUGUCGAAAAUUGAAGGAGCUUCCCUCAUAUUUGCAUCAACUGGACAAUUUGCGAUGCCUUGAAUUUAUAAAUACUGGAGUGAAAAAUGUGCCAGCACAUUUGGGAAGGCUGAAGAAUCUCCAAAUAUUCAUGAGUUCGUUUUCAGUUGAAAAAUGUAAGGAAUUCAGUAUUCAGAAAUUGGGAGAACUCAAUCUUCAUGGAAGCCUAACAUUUCAUGAGCUGCAAAAUAUAGAGAAUCCCUCUUAUGCAUUAGAAGCAGAUUUGAAGAACAAACCACACCUUACGGAGCUACAGUUAGAAUGGAAUAUUAUGGGCAACUCCUCUGUUGAUUCAACCAAAGUUGGGGAUGUAAUUGAGAAUCUACGACCUUCAAAGCACUUGAAGAAGUUAUCAGUAAGGAACUAUGUUGGUAAACAACUUCCAAAUUGGUUACUCAAUAAUUCGUUACUGAAUUUGGUGUCCUUAGAGUUGAUGAAUUGUAUAUGUUGCCAAGGUUUUCCUCCGCUUGGUCUUUUGCCAUUUCUGAAGAAGCUGGGGAUUUCAGGGUUUGAUGAGAUAGUGAGUAUUGAUGCUGAUUUUCAUGGGAAUAACUCUUCUUCCUUUAAAUCCCUUGAAACAUUGAUCUUCUCCAAUAUGAGGCAAUGGGAAAAGUGGGAGUGUCAAGCUCUGACAGGUGCUUUUCCAUGUCUACGAGAACUUUCCAUAAAAGAAUGUCCGAAGCUGAAAGGACAGCUGCCAGAGCAAGUUGCUCUUUUGAAAAUACUAGAAAUUGAAGACUGCCAAGAACUUGAGUCAUCAAUAACUUAUGACUGUGUCUCUCUAUGUACCUUUCCAUUGGAUUUCUUUCAAACACUCACGACCCUUCAACUCAGUGGGUUUGGUAAUUUACAGAUGAUUUCACAAGGUCUCAUCCAUAAUCAUCUGGAGCAUCUGCAAAUAAUUAGGUGCCAUAAAUUAGAAUCAUUGCCUGCAAACAUGCAUACGCUGCUUCCAUAUCUGAGGACGUUAAGGAUAGAAGACUGUCCAAGACUUGAGUCGUUCCCCGAAGGAGGUUUGCCAUCAAAUCUAGAAGAUCUGAAAAUCAUUAAGUGCUCUAGACUUGUUGGAUCACUGAAAGGAGCUUUCGGAGACAGUUCUUCUUUGAAAUGGUUGAGGAUUGAAGAAGCGGAUGCAGAAUGUUUUCUUGAUGAAGGUUUGCUUCCACUCUCUCUUACUGAUCUAUCCAUCUAUUAUUGUCCAAAUCUAGAGAAACUGGACUGUCUCUAUCAACUCUCAUCCCUUCAAUCACUGAAACUUUUUGACUGCCCCAACGUCCAACGCUUACCAGAGGAGGGUCUUCCCAAAUCAAUUUCAUAUCUUGAUAUAAGCGAUUGUCCUUUGCUUAAACAGCGUUGCCAAAAAGGAGGCGAAGACUGGGAAAAGGUUGCUCACAUUCAAAACCUAUAUAUGUGUAUGUAUCUACGGAAGUAAAUAAUGUGGUUUUGGUGGGCUACAAUUUAUUUUUGUUUUGAAUGUGUAUCAACUAUUUUUCUCUUUUGUUGGUACUGCUGCAAAAUGUGUGUAACCAUUCACUCUUCCAUCAUUUUAAGUAGGAAAUGUAAAAUGCAAUAGUUAUAAAGCUUAAAUAAAUUUUAAGUUUCUAAUAUAUUUUUACAUAGAAGCACCUGUAAUGGGAUAUAGUUUUUAUAUACAAAAAGAAGGAUAACAAAAGGUCGUUAAAAAACAGUUUAUUAAAAUACAUUUAUGUGGUAAAUAAUCAAACCAAACUUCUCAAGGAUGCAGAGGUGAGAAAAUCAGCAGGAAGUGGUAGAAGGUGGGUGUAGCAGGAGCUGCGGUGUGGGGUAGCAAUUUAGAAGAUCUAUCUUCUGAGGAAAUGUGAUUGUAGCUGAUAGAAUGGGAUGAAGUCUAUUAUAAAAGCAUCCUAUGAGGCUUAUUCUAUAGGAAUUAUUGCUGUCUUGUAAGUGUGGGUGGGUUGAAGCACGAUUUUUCAUGCUCAAGCUGCAGAUGUUAGUUUAAAGUCUGGAGAAAUUCUACAAAAUCAAUCUUUGUCAUAUAUGAUAUGGUGUUUUCUGAUAUAAACGCAAUGUUUUCCUCUAGCCUUGGAAACAAUGGGAAGUCUGCUAUGCAAUAAAUCAUCCGUUUAAGAAUGGAAAAAUGUAUUAGAAAGCAAAAUCUUAUCCUCUUCUGAGGCAUCUUCUAUGUGAGUCUCUUUUUCAUCUUUUAUUUGAUCAUAUAUCCAAAAGGAGAAGUACUGUUGGCUUGAAUGUUCUGCACGAGGAUUUGAGUUCCUUCUCCUACUUCCCAUGUGUAACCGUAGAUUCUGGGCUUCAAACGGUGAGAAACUGGAAGAAUUAAUGUGGAGAGUGGGGAAGGAUGUAGGAUUUAGUUAUGAGGAGGGUGACGAGAAUAUAGUUCAUAAACUUAAAGUCUUAGAGAAUUUGGAUAAUGUUAUAUCUAAGCAAAAUGCAGGGAGGAGGAUAAUAAUGAUAAUCAUCUCAAUGAAUAUUCGCGGGAUUGGUGGUACAACGAAGAAGAGAUUUAUUUGAGAUUUAAUACAAAAAGAAAAGGCUGAAUAGUGUGUAUUAGGAAACAAAAAAGAAUGUCAUUAACUCUAAAAUGUGUUUUAAUCUUUGGGGUAGUAAUCAAUAUAUAGAAAGGAGACUCUUGGUUUUAAUAUCUUCAUUGAAAACAUGGUAUAAGGCAGAUGGAACUGCUAAACGUAGGAUUGAUAGAGUUCUUUUGUCAAAGGAGUGGUUGGAUAAGUGGCCCAAUAGUAAGCAAUUUGCCCUUGAAAGAGGUAUAUCCCAUCAUACUCCCCUUGCCCUAAAAGAGAAAAGGGACCUAAACCUUUUAGGUUUAUGAAUAUGUGGAGGGAGCAUGCUGGUUUUGAUGAAGUGAUGGACAAACUGUGGUAACAAAAAGUCCGGGGCAUUAGUCAUAUGUCUAAAUGGAAGAAAAAGUUGAAAGCUGUUAAAAGGGGGUCUUAAGGAAUGGAACAGGGAGGUAUUAUUAAGGACCUUGACAGCAAAGAUGACCUAGGAGUUCUUAUUAUGCAAGAAACACAGCUUUAGGCAACAAAUGUUGGCUGAAUUGUCUCUGCUGGAUCAUAAAAUUGAAGCUUUCUUAGCCAAAAAGCUAGGGUAAGCUGGAUUAAGGAUGGAAAUACAAAUUCUAAAUUUCCAAGUGGAUGUAAUAAUCCUUUAUUACAUAUUAUAACUAUUGUUAGAUAUUUCUAUCGACUUAGCCCAUAUUUUCUGUAUGUUUCUUUUUUAUAUAAAGAUAACCCUUUGUGUUCAAUAUACACAAGGGAUUUAUCUUAUUCUUUUAUUUUAAAAUGGUAUCAAAGUCAUAUAGAGCCUAACCUAGCGAGAGUUUGUUGGGCUUAUCAACCCACCCAUCGGGUUGCUAUCGGACCACCCAUAAAUAUAUGGUCUCAUGCACAAGUUUACCGUCUUGAUAUGAGGGGUGUGUGAUGGCGAUCCCACAUCCAUUAGAAAUAAAGACAUUUCAAAGUAUAUAAGUGGGUGCAAACCUCACCUUAUAAGCUAGUUUUAUAAGGUUGAGUUAGGCUUAUAGUCCACUUCUUAACAGUCCCUAAAGUAGUUUGUCCCUAGGAUUUUAAUGACUUUCAACCCAUAUUUCUAAUUGGCUGUUUGUCCAAAAUUUCUUAAUUUUUUUAGUAAAUAGGCUAGAAAAGGUCAUCCCAAAGGUUAUUGACCAAUCUCAAUCAGCAUGCUUAGAAGGAAAGGCCUUCUUGAUAGUGUUUUGGUGACAAAUGAGACACUUGAUGAGGUCAAAAGUAAAGGUAAGAAGUGCAUUAUUGUAAAGGUUGAUUUUGAAAAAGUUUAUGACAUGGUGAGAUGGGAUUAUUUGGAACAUAUGAUGUCUAGACUUGGUUUUUGUAGUACUUGGAUUAGGUGGAUGAUGAGUUGUCUUAAAUCCGCAUCUAUCUCGGUUUUAGUCAAUGGUAGUCCAACUAAGGAGUUUAAGCCACAAAAAGGUCUUAGACAAGGAGACCCUAACACCUUUUCUGUUUCUUGUUGGGGUAGUUAGGCAAGCAUUGGAAAAGGUUGUCAUUAAAGGUAUCAGAGUUGGACAUAAUGAGAUUCAAAUUGGGUUUUCACAGUUUGCAUAUGACACUUUGUUCAUACGUGAAACGGGUAUGGGGUGUGUUGUAGCAAUAAAAAACAUUUUAAGAUGUUUCCAACUUAUGUCAAGGUUGAAAGUGAAAUUUAGAAAAAACAAAAAUUAGGGGAAUGGGGUUGAAAUUUUUGAACUAGAUAGAUUUCUUUGAUGCUUAAUUCUACACCCAUGAACUUACCUUUUAAGUAUUUAGGCCUUUGGGUUGGGGGAAACCAGUCCAGAUAUUCUUUUUGGGAGCCUGUGAUUAAUAAGAUUAGGAGUAAGAUAGCAGUCUAGAGAGAAAAUUCAUAUCUUUUGCCCGGUAGGGUAUGCCUGAUUAAAUAUGUUCUAACUACUAUACUUCUCUAUUACUUAUCCCUUUUCAAGAUUUCGAUAGAAGUGGAAAAACCUUUUAGGAAAAAUCAAUUGAAAUUCUUAUGAGGCUGGGGAUUUGAAUCAAGGAAAAUUUCCUGGGUGAAGUGGACGGAUAUAUGCAAGAAAAGGGAAUUUAGGGGUUAGGAGUUAAAGAUUUGAAAAGGUUUAAUGCAACUUUAUUAGCUAAAUGGAUAUGUCGAUUGGGAUUAGAAUUAACUAGGAAAUGAAGAGAUAUUUUAGAAUCUAAAUAUGGGGGUUGGUGGAACAUAGUGGACUGUCACGUUAGGAAGGAAUCUAGAUGGUGGAAGAUAUUAAGAAAAUAGGAAUAUCUGCUUUUGGGAAUUGGUUAUGGGAUAAUGUAUCUUGGGAAGUUGGAAAUGGUAGAAAUAUUCUUGUUUGAAAUGAUAAGUGGUUGGGCGAUAUAGUGUUAUCUGAAUUAGAAUGAUAAGUAGUUAGUGUUAUCCGAAAAAUGGCCUGGGAUUUUUUCAAAUGCAAAAUCUAAGUCCAUAUGUCUGAGGGAAGUUGGUGAGUGGGUUAAUCGAAGAUGGUUGUGGAAGUUGGAAUAGAGAAGACUUUGGUUCUGAUGGGAAAAAUGGAUGGUAGAAAGUUUUAUAGGCUUUAUUGAAUGAGCUAAUCUCCAUAGGCAUAGGCUGAUAAGUGGAAGUGGAUCAAAACUGAAGAUCAUAUUUUUUUCUGUCAAAACCACAUAUGAAAUCAUAGAUGUGAGGGAGUUAGAAAUGUGGGAAAGUAUCUAUACUGAGUUAUGGUGUGUUAAAUUUCUUCGGUCUGGAAAACUGUUUGUUUGGCACUUGUUUAAACAGAGAGUAACAAUCGGUUGUUUCGUGGUUUCAACCGAUUGUUUCUUUGAAAAUCCUAACAGAAUUUUGUUUUGGUUGUUGAAUGUGCUUUACAUGAUUUUCAACUGAAUACGCUCCUUUAUUAAUUGUUUUGACCAAUCUUUGGAAAAUAUAAAUGGUUUGUUUAUGUUUUCAAACAAGCAAGUGAAACAGAUUUGAGUUUUUUAGUUGUGAAGAAGUUGAUUCUAAAGAUUUGAACAUUCACAUCAAGCUUUGGGUUUUUCAAAGAGAGUGGAAUAGGAUUGCAAUUGUAUUGAGUUCAUUUUGUAUUGUGAACAAGUGUAAUCCCUUCUCAAUCUACUGUAUUUCUGGUGUUAUGUUGCCAAGGAGUGUUGUGUGCUCUUAAGGUGGUCAAGAUCAAUACCCUUGGUGUGUUUUGCCAAAGCGAGUGCGUUUCUUGAAGGGUUCAAGUUAGUACUUUGGUGGUUUGUGUGUUGUAAUCUGGUUUAAUUACUUAGUCGAUUACCCAGUGGUUUUCUGAGGACUGGAUGUAGCUCUUGGCUUAAGAGUGAACCAGUAUAAACUAUUGGUGUAUCUCUCUCUUACUCUAAACUCAUUUAAAUUUUGUUUUAAGCUUUAUUGGUAUAAACAAUCGAUAGUUUCAAAGAAACAACCGAUUGUUUUUCUGUUACUUUGCUGUUUUAUUGCUUAUAUUCUGGGCUAACUUGAUUUAUGUUCUGGAUUCACACAAAGAAUUUCAUUAAACCUCAAAAAGUUUUCCAAAACCUUUCUUAAACAAUUCACACCCCUCUCGUUUAAGGCCAUAUAUUCUAACAGUUUGCACAUGAGAAGGCACGUCCAUAAAUAAAUCACAAAAAGAAGAUACGGAUUAGAAAAGCCAGGACGUUUUCUUUUUGGAAAACCAGUUUUGUUCAGUAUCGGUCUGGGACUUACUACACCUUACUCCUUGGGUAUUUUGGUCUAAAAAUUUUACCAGACAUUCAUCAUUGUGUCUUUUGAGUUUUGGCUGAGAAUUGAGCCCUAGAUUCGUCCCACAAGAUUCAUAAUUAAUUUUUAAUUCAUCAUUACCACGACUGAAAGGAAGGUUAGUUUGUGUGUGAAACUGUUUGAUUUUUUCCCUAGGCGAAUACUCAUCCGUUUGACCUGAAAUUUGUCACAUUUUGUCUCAAAUUCAUUUGAGAUUCUUACGUGGAAUUUCAGGAAAAAACUAUUUUGAGUUAGUUUUUCAAAAAUUUUGUGCAAACCAAGACUAUCCUCUACCACAACUUUUUGUAACUUUUUUCUUGGUUCGUACUGCGCUGAAAAAAUUCACACAAGUACUUUCCUAUGUUGUUUCCACCUAAGGAGGCACAACCAUAAAUAAAUCACAAAAAGAAGAUACAGGGUAGAAAAUCCAGGAUGUUUUGAUUUUGGAAAAACAGUUUUGUUCACUCUCGAUCUAGGACUUACUACGCCUUACUCCUUAGGUAUUUUGGUCUAAAACUUUCACCAUACAUUCCUCAUUGUGUCUAUUUAGUUUUGGUAAAGAUUUGAGCCCCAGAUUCAUCCCACAAUAUUCACAAUAAAUUUUUUACUCCUCACUACUAGGGUUGAAAAGAAGUUUCGUUUAUGUGUGAAACUGUUUGAUUUUUUCCCUAGCUGAAUACUAAUCCGUUUGACCUGAAAUUUGUCGCAUUUUUUCCUAAAUUCAGUCGACAUUCUUACGUGUAAUUUCAGGAAAAAACUAUUUCGGGUGAGUUUUUCAGAAAUUUUGUGCAAAUCAAGGCUAUGUUCUACGAAAACUUGUGAAAUUUCACCCUACUUUUUGCAAUUUUUUUCUGGGUCCGCAUUACGUUGAAAAAAUUCACACAAGAAUUUUCAUAUGUUGUUUGCACCUAAGAAGGAACGUUCAUAAAUAAAUCACAAAAGGAAGAUAUGGGGUAGAAAAGAAAUGACUUUUUCUUUUUGGAAAACUAGUUUUCUUCACUCUCGGUCUAGGACUUACUACGCCUUAGUCCUUGGGCAUUUUGUUCUAAAAAUUUUACUAGACAUUCGUCAAUGUGUCUAUUGAGUUUUGGCUGAGAGUUGAGCCCCAGAUUCCUCCCACAAUAUUCACAAUUAAUUUUUAAAUCAUCACUACCACCGCUGAAAGAAAGGUUAGUUUGUGUGUGAAACUGUUUGAUUUUUUCCCUAGGUGAAUACUCAUCCGUUUGACCUUAAACUUGUCGCAUUUUUUCUCAAAUUCAGUCAAUAUUCUUACAUGGAAUUUCAAGAAAAAACUAUUUCGAGUUAGUUUUUCAGAAAUUUUGUGCAACCCAAAGCUAUCCUCUACCAAAACUUGUGAAAUUCCUACCUAGUUUUUGUAAUUUUUUUCUAGAUUCGUAUUGCGCUGAAAAAAUUCACACAAGUACUUUCAUAUUUUGUUUGCACCUAAGGAGGCACAACAAUAAAUAAAUCACAAAAAGAAGAUACAUGAUAGAAAUGUGAGGACGUUUUGUUUUUGUCAAACCAGUUUUGUUCACUCUCGAUCUGGGACUUACUACGCCUUACUACUUAGGUAUUUUUGUCUAAAAAUUUUCCAGACAUUCAUCAUUGUGUCUAUUGAGUUUUGAUUAAGAUUUGAGUCACCGAUUCGUCACACAAGAUUCGCAAUAAAUUUUUUAUUCAUCACUAUCAUGGCUGAAAAUAAGGUUCGUUUGUGUGUGAAACUGUUUGAUUUUUUUCCUAGGUGAAUACUCAUGCGGUUGACCUUAAAUUUGUCACAUUUUGUCCUAAAUUGAGUCGAGAUUCUUAGGUGGAAUUUUAAGAAAAAAAUAUUUCGGGAGAACUUUUCAGAAAUUUUGUGCAAACCAAGGCUCUCAUCUACCAAACCUUUUGAAAUUUCACCUUACUUUCUGCAAAAACAAAUUGGGUCCGUAUUGCGCUGAAAAAAUCCACACAAGUACUUUCAUAUGUUCUUUGCACCCAGGUAAGGAGGCACGUCCAUAAAUAAAUCACAAAAAGAAGAUACGGAGUAAAAAAGACAAGACGUUUUGUUUUCGCAAAACCAGUUUUGUUCACUCUCUGUCUAAGACGUACUACGCCUUACUCCUUAAGUAUUUUCGUAUGAAAUUUUUACCAGAUAUUCGUUAUUGUGUCUAUUGGGCUUUGGCUAAGAUUUGAACCCCAGAUUAGUCCCACAAUAUUGGCAAUAAAAAUUUUAUUCAUCACUGCCAGGGCUGAAAGGAAGGUUCGUUUGUGUUUGAAACUGUCUGGUUUUUUUCCUAAGUGAAGACUAAUCCGUUUAUCAUUAAAUUUGUCGCAUUUUGUCUUAAAUUUAGUCGAGAUUCUUAUGUGGAAUUUCAGGAAAAGUCUAUUUCGGGAGAAUUUUUCAGAAAUUUUGUGCAAACCAAGGUGAUCCAGUACCAAAACUUUUGAAAUUUCGCCCUAUUUUGUGCAAAAAAAAAUGGUUUGUAUUGCGCUGAAAAGAAUUCACACAAGUAUUUUCAUAUGAUGUUUGCACUCAGGUAAGGAGGCACGUCCAUAAAUAAAUCACAAAAAAAAAGAUACGGGGUAAAAAAGCGAGGACGUUUUGUUUUCGGAAAACCAGUUUUGUUCACUCUCAAUUUGGGACUUACUACGCGUUAUUCCUUGGAUAUUUUGGUAUGAAAAUUUUACUAGACAUUCGCCAUUAUGUCUAUUGAGUUUUGGUUGAGACUUAGGGUCUAGAUUCCUCCCACAAGAUUCGCAAUAACAUUAUGAAACUGUUUGAUUCUUUUUGUAUGUGAAUACUCAUCUCUUUGACAUGAAAUUUGUCGCGUUCUGUCCCAAAUUUAGUGUAGAAUCUUACGUGAAAUUUUAGGGAAAACCUAUUUCAUGAGAAAUUUUCAGAAAAUUUCGUGUAAACCAAGGCUAUCCUCUACCAAAACUUGUGAAAAUUUCCCCCUACUUUCUGCAGUUUUUAUUCUGCGUCCGUAUUGCGUUGAAAAAAUUAACACAAGUAUUUUCAUAUAUUGUUUGCAGCCAGGUAAGGAGACACGUCCAUAAAAUAAUCACAAAAAGAAGAUAUGUGGAAGAAAGGCUAGGAAGUUUUGUUUUCGGAAAACCAGUUUUGUUCACUCUCGGUCUGGGACUUACUACGCGUACUCCAAUAGUCCCACAUCGCUUAGUAGUAGAUGCCAAGGACAAUUUAAAUAUAAUUUCCUCCAUUAACACCCAAAUCAAACCUUUUUCUUCAUUUCUUUAAUCUCUGAGAGAUGAAGACUUCCUUUAUUGUAGCCCAUCUCUAAUUUUUCUUUUUAACAUAUCGUAUUUCCCGAAUCCAUUUGGAAAGUUAGAGAAGAAGAAGGUUGUGAAGUUAUGUGAUGAUUGUUGAGGUCUGCGAAUGCGAAUGUUCUCAUAGAACCCUCUUGGCAUUGCAAUUGUUAGGAGAGAGAGGACAGAAAAAAAAUUUCUUAUUACCAACUUAAUCUGAGAAAAAAUAAUAUAUAAUUUAAUUAAUAUAGAAAUUGAUUAUUUUUUAUAUCUAAAUUAAUUUUUGUUUACCUAUUUUCUUGUAGAGUUAUCUUGCAGAAAAAAUCUAUUACAAUGUUAAAUUCAAAAAAUUGCAGAGUUAUCUUGCAGAUGUUUUUCUCUUUGGGGGAAUAACAAAAUUGGGUGGAUUCACAACAAAGUAGACGAUGGAAGUGGAAGCUUACUGUCUAUGUGGCAUAAAAAAGUAUUUGAUUAUUAAAGUCAUCUGAUGGGAACAUGCUUUAUUAUCAUCUACGGCCAAUACAUCAAAACUUCCUAUAGGUGUGCGGUUGUAAAUGUCUACUUUCCAUGCUUGUUGAAUGGAAAGAAGACUUUAUGGAAGGAUCUUGUUAAAGCAAAAUUGGCAUCUAACGUAUUAGCUUGGUGCUUUUGUGGUGAUUUCAACGCGGUAAGAAGUAGAAGUGAAAAGAAAGGCAUCAGUGGUAGGGGAGAGCAGUCAAGUGAGGUAAUUGGCUUUAAUAGUUUCAUUGACUCCAUCUUUUUCUUAGAGUUACCUCUAGUAGGUAAGAAGUUUACGUGGUUUAAACCGGAUGGAACAACAAAGAGUAGAAUAGAUAGAGUGCUUGUAGAUUAAGAUUGGUUACAGCUCUGACCCAUGAGUAAACAAUAUGUCCUACGAAGGGAAGUGUCAAACCACUGUGCUCUGGUGGUUAAGUCUGUGGAGAAGGACUGGGGUCCUAAACCUUUCAGAACCAUUGAUGCUUGGUUCUUGAAGAGAGGAUUCAAUAGGAUGGUGCAGGAUAAAUGGCAGUCCUACUAGGUGCAGGGGUAUGGCAUGACGAAGGUUAAAGAAAAGUUGAAACUUCUCAAAUCAGAUUUGAAGUCUUGGAAUAUGGAUGUCUUUGGCAACCUUGACACCGAAAAGAGGAGGAUUCUACAGGAUCUGGAGGCUUUAGACUGCCAAGAUUGCUUUGGGGGUCUAGUGGAAAAUGACAGGUUGAAAAGAUUGGAGUUGGUAAGCCGUCUGAAAGAGAAUGAUAAGAAAAUUGAAUCCCUCAGUUGUCAAAAGGCGAGAGAAAGUUGGUUUAAGAAUGGGGAUUCCUGUACCAGAUUCUUCCACUCAUCUGUGAGGUGGAGAAGGCUCAUAAACAAAGUGAAUGGUGUCCAGGUGGGGGACCAAUGGUGUGAGGAAGCAAACACUGUCCGUUUAGAAGCUAAGAAGCUUUUCGAAGAUAGAUUUAGAGCAACGAAAGAUUUGGGGUAAGGUUGGAUGAAGUUGAGUUUAAGUCACUAUCUCUGAUUGAUAACGAGGGUCUCCUAGUUGUGUUCUCUGGGAAAGAGAUUAGGGUUGCAAUGUGACAGUGUGAAGGAUCAAAGAGCCCUGGACCAGACGACUUCAACUUUAACUUCAUUAAGAAGAGUUGGGAUUUCUUAAAAGAUGAUAUCAUGGCAGCGCUGACCCUGUUUCAUGAAACGGGGAGUAUACCGAAGGGUUGUAAUGCUUCCUUCAUAUCUUUGGUUCCUAAAGUCAGGGAUCCCUCUAAGCUCGAGCAAUAUAGACCCCUCUCAUUAGUUGGAGCACUUUACAAAAUUAUUUCUAAGGUGUUAGCUUUUAGAAUGAAGAAGGUGUUGCCUGCUCUGAUAGAUGAAUGUCAAUCAGCUUUUGUAAAAGGAAGAGGGAUCUUAGAUAGUGUGCUUAUGACAAAUGAAGUUGUAGAAUACCUAAGGGGAAAUCGGAGAACAGGGUUAUGCCUAAAGGUGGACUUCGAAAAAGCAUAUGACUCGGUUAGAUGGGAAUUCUUAUAUGAUAUGCUAUCCAGGAUGGGGUUCCACAACCUAUGGAUUGUUUGGAUUAAAGGAUGCCUGGAAUCCACAACCUAUGGAUUGUUUGGAUUAAAGGAUGCUUGGAAUCCACCUCUGUGUCUCUACUAGUCAACGAGAGCCCUACAGAGGAAUUCAAGCCAACAAGAUGGUUGAGGCAGGGAAACCCCCUUGCACCCUUUUUGUUCUUAGUUGUAGCUAAAGUCCUUGUUGGGUUAGUUCGAAGAGCUAGCAAAAUCGACUUGCUAACGGGCCUCAAGAUUGGAAGGAAGGAGAUAGAGGUGUGUAUCCUCCAAUUUGCGGAUGAUACUCUCUUCCUAUGUGAAGACUCCCUUAAUAACAUGGUAACCUUGAAGGCCAUCCUAAUGGGUUAUGAAUUAGUCUCAGGAUUGAAGAUUAACUUCCACAAGUCAAAGCUAACGGGCUUUAAUGUUCAAAGUAAUGUUGUAGCUUAUUACACAAAGACCUUGAACUGUACCCAGAUGGGGUUACCGUUUAAAUACCUGGGCCUUGAAGUGGGAGGUAACCCCAGGAAGAAGCAGUUUUGGAAACCGGUCAUUAAUAAGUUAAAAACAAGGCUCAGUGUGUGGAAAGGGAGAUUUUUAACCAUGGCAGGGAGAAUUUGCCUUAUUAACUCUAUUAUAACCGCUAUUCCUCUGUAUUAUCUCUCUCUUUUCAAAGCACCGAGCCCAGUCUGAAAGAGGAUUACUAGUAUCCAGAGAAGAUUCUUAUGGGGUUGGGGGAAAGUGAGCAAGCCAAUCUAUUGGGUAAGUUGGAAAGACGUAUGCAGACCUAGAGAGGAGGGAGGACUGGGUUUAAGAGAAAUAUGUAAGUUUAAUUAUGCCCUCCUAGCUAAAUGGAGAUGGCGUUGUAUCUCUCAAGAGGAAGGGAGGUGGAAAGAGAUUCUGGUCUCAAAGUAUGGGCUAGAGCCUGGAAAUGCCCAAACACCUGUCAAACUUCAAUCUUGGUGGUAGAGAGAUCUUUCCAAAGUGUGCAAGGAGGGAGGAGGAAAAGGAUGGUUCCAAGAAGAAUUAAGUUGGGAACUAGGCUAUGGAGACAAAGUAAAGUUCUGGGAGGAGGUGUGGGUUGGUAGUAAUGGUCUUAAAUCCAUGUUCCCCAGAUUGUAUUCACUGUCCUAAAUCAGGGCCAAACAGUGCGUGAAGUUGGUGUGUGGAUUAAUUCGGAAUGGAGAUGAAGUAUGGGGUGGAGGCGUGCCAGAUUUGAGUGGGAAUCCACAAUGGAAGCUGAUCUUGCUACGUUGUUAUCUGGGGCACCCAUGAAAAAGAAUGUCAUGGAUGUGUUGUUGUGGGGGAAGGAAGUACCAGGGAUAUUUACAGUGAACUCCGCUUAUGAGCGCCUAGCUAAACAAACUAGAGGUACCCAAUCUGAAGUGUUUUUUCUCGUUUGGAAGGCAAAGGCAUUUCCAAAUGUGGUAACAAUAACUUGGAGAGUACUGCUGGAUAGAAUUCCAACAAGGGUGUGCUUGAGCAGGAAAUGGUUGAUGAUAGAUACGACGCUUUGUGCAAUGUGUCAGGCCAAGGAGGAGUCAUGCCAACAUCUCUUUCUGGAGUAUAAAUAUGCUCAAAGGGUUUGGUCCUUGUGCUUCAAAUGGAUAGGUAUUUCUUUUGUUCAACAAAAUGACUUAAACUCGCACUUCCUGAGUUUUUAUCUGAGCAAAGCUAGUAAGAAGCAAAAUCUGGUAUGGAAAGGUGUUUGGGCAUCAAUUAUUAGAUGUAUCUGGGAUCAAAGGAACCUGAUUGUAUUCAAACAAGGGCUAGUAGAUGCGGAGGAGGUGUUUCAAAAGGCUCAACUCAAAUCCUUGUUCUGGAUGAAGCCUAAAGUGCAUUCCUUUAUCCAUUCCUUCGUAGACUGGGUUCUCAACCCAAUGUUAUGCAUUAAAAGCUAUAAUUAGGAUCUCAGGUGCCAAGAAUAGUUAAGCUUAUGGUGCAGUAGCUGGUUUGGGAAGAGGGUUGCACUAUUGUUUUGUGGUUUUUAAGUUGUAGAUGUAGGGGUACUAGUGUUUAAUUCUAUGGCCUGUGCUGGUAUGCAUACCUGGGUUGAGGUACUGGAGCUAGUGUUAGAUGGAAGUGGGAAUUAUCCCAAUUUACCCUGUUGCUGUGAUGCUAUGAUGUUCUUUUGGUUUAUCUGGGUUAAGGUUUUUGCAUUGUAUGGGAACCUUAUGAUUGGUUAUCUAUGAAGCCAGAUAUGGUUGUCGAUGCUGCAAUGGGUAUGUAGGUGUGCACAGGGUCUGUGGAAGCAGUUCUAGAAGGUCAUGUCAAGGCUGUUAUAUCUCUGUUUUUGCACGCAGUGUGACUUGGAGGGCUCCCAGUUUGCUAUCACAUUCUCACCUAGUUGGUUUGCUUUGUAAUGGAAGAAGGAGAAUAGUUGGAGGAGUUAACUGCAAUGUCCAGAAGUUGAGGGUGUGGUGUGGUGUACUAACUUGAUUUCAUGGUUGCAAACACGAGUCACAGUUAUGUUAGUCAAAGGAGGGGCUUGAUGGAGCUGUUGUGCAUAACAGGGAGCAGAUGGAGCUAUAGGGGUUUAAUACUAAGUAAGGAGGUUUAGGAGGAAAAGGCUUGGAAGUGAUUUGAAGAAUAUUUAGGAGACUUUAACUUCUGAUAUAGUCAUCUCAGGAUAAAGGGAUCUAAGCUGGGAAAUUAUGUGGGAUCCAAGUUAAAGAAUCAACAUCCAAUCAUUCUAAGAACGAGAUGGGUUGUUGGCUUGGCUGCUAAACAUGCUGGUAGGUUUUUAAGACAAACUGAAUUCCAUGUUGGAUUUAAAGGCCUAAUCAGCUGGCUAUCUACAGAGUCUAAUGUUAGAAACAGGGUGAAACUUAUGCUCAUUUUGGCGUAUUCUGGUCUGGAGAAAAAAGGUGAGUGCAUUGUUCUUUCCUGAAGUGAUUUGAAGCUAAAGGAAUAUCAAUGACUAGAUGGAGGUUUCUUUUCUUUUGGUGAGUUUCGGUGGUUUAGAAGUUGCAGAUUGCAACUCUUGAAGCAGACCUUGCGAGGAAGGUGCUUGCUGGUGCAGGUGUUUCUUAGUUUAUGCAGCAAAUAUCACUUUUCUAAUGCUUUUGGGGUGUAUUCGGAGACCUCUUAAGGUGGACUUUGGGUUGUGUAAAAGGGUUGGAAUAUCCCUAUUAUAUCUCUUUAAUUUAAUUUCAUUCUUUGCUGAUAAAAAUAAAAUUCUUUUUUCUCUAUGUUCUCUCUUAUUCAUUAUGAUUAGGGUUCUUGUUCUCACUGCUUCUCGCAUCCAAUAUUGCUCUAAUAGUUUGGUUCUUGAUUUUUUUUUAUCUAAAGUUAAAAAAAUCGUUAUUUUAUUGUGAUUUUAAAAUGAAUUUUUGAAAUUUAACAAAAGUUAAAAAAAAUCCGCUAUAUUUUGUUGAGUUUUUAAAAUAAUUUUUGAAAGUUAACAAAUGUUAAAAAAAACCUCCAUUAAUUAAAUUAAUUUCUAGAAUUAUAUUAAUUUCCGCUAAAUAAUUUCCGUUAAAAUCAUUUUCUAUUAUACGCAAUUAUAAUAAUACACGUUUGUUUUGAUACAAAUGUUUUAAUAAUUUUUGUUAUAUUUUUUUCUAUAUGUUAUGAAAAUAUAUAUUAAUUAAAGAUUUUUUUGUUAUUUGAGAAAUAUAUAUAUAUAUAUAAUAUUUUUCUAUAUGCAUUAUAAGUAUUUUAUUUAUUUUAUUCAUUCUUUAUUAAUACAAAAUAAAUAAAAUCUGCUAGCAUUAGGUUGUUGCUCCCACAUAGCAAAAAAGAAAAGUGUGUGAGCCCCCACAGUAGUAGCAAGUGUCGUUCAUUAUUGCUCAUUUACCACCCCUUUCUUUAACUAAUUUUUGGACCAGAUUUAAUUAAUUUUAUUAGGUUGUAUAUGGCAAUAAAAAGUUAAAGUUAGUUAAUUUAGAAUUUAAGAUUUAAGAUUUAUUUAAUUUUAAAAAAAUAUUUUUUAUAAAAAAAUAUUUAAAUUAUUAUUUUAUUUUACGUUCUUUUAAAUUAAAAUAUUUAUACAUAAUAUUUUAUAAUAUUAGUUGCAUUUUUAAAUAAAUAUAUAUUCACAUUUUUUUAUAAUAUUUUAUUUAUUUGAUAUUUUUAUAGAAAAAAAUAUUUAAUAAAUAUUUGGUUGUGAUUAUGAAUAAAAACUAUUUUUCUAUCAUAUGGAAGAAUAAAAAGUAAAUCCAAAAAAACUAAAUACCACAAUUAAUACAAGUAAAAAGCUGAAAAUCUAGAAAUUAAUUUAAAAAGUUCUAUAAAUGCUAUCUCGUGCUAAGCUAUGUUAGCAUCCAAUUCUACUAUUCACUCAUCAUUCAUAUUCAAGUUGCUCCAAUGUCUUUGGCAAGUGAGAAAGAAGCAAAUGAAGAAAAUGAGUUCAUCCUCUCCCUUCCCAAGGAGACGGGUUUGAAUUUCACUCCCUAUCUCCAUCUAUUUCAAGAUUUUUGGUGCCCAACAGAUUAUGUUCAUGGAGUGAACAAGUUUCAAAAACAUUUUGAUGCAAAAGACAAUGAUGUUUUUGUUGCUAGCUUUCCAAAGUCAGGUACUACCUGGUUGAAAGCUCUUACUUUUGUAAUUGCAAACCAUCAACGUUUUUCCUCUUUCGACAACCAUCCAUUACUCUCUUCCAAUCCUCAUGAACUUGUGCCCUUCCCUGAAUUUAUGUAUUCUUAUGAUUUGCAUGACCAAAUUCUUUCCCUCUCCAACAUGAGUGACCCAAGACUUCUUUCUACUCACCUACCAUUCCCUUCAUUACCUGAAUCCAUCACAAAAUCCAAUUGCAAGAUCAUUUAUAUACGUAGAAAUCCAUUUGAUACUUUUGUUUCAGCAUGGGAAUUCUUUACUAAAAUAAAG
rnacentral:lncRNA from 1 species